CCAGCAUGGAAAGGGGAGGAAUGCAUAAGGCUCCACCCCUAGCCAAGGUGCUAUGGACAGUAGAUAGCUUCUGGGAGAAGAAGAGUAGUCCUCUUCAGUGACAUGGCCUAGGGCAAGUUGCCUAUAUGCCAGUGGAUGGACUCUCCAAGAAAGGUCAAGAUAGACUUCUUUGCUGAUGCAUCUUGGCAAGGUGCUUCUUGAAAAAUGAUGCAAACCUACCCGAAUCAGUUACUAAGGACUUUUAUCUUCUUAUAUCCCAGAGGUCCUAAUCCCUGCAUGUGUCAGGUGGAGAUGCUCUCAAGUCCCAACCUAGUCUGGACUAUAGUUAAGACCCAGUCUCAAAAACAAAACAAGCAAACAAUCACCGAUAGUGAUACACAUGGAUAAUGCCAGCAUUCAGGAAGCUGCCAACCCAGGUAACAUAGCAAGAUUUCGUUUGAUCAUUCUUCUACUAGCUCAACUACCUAACAGGCUCAAACUGUUAUGUCCUGCUAUUUUCUAUCCUUGUUUUAAGUCUUCGAUGUCCCAGGUUGGUCUGGACCUCGUGAU